rnacentral:lncRNA from 1 species
UUUGGGAAUUCAGGAGGGUUUUUUUGGGGGGAUUUUGGGGCAUUUUGGGGUUUUUUGGGAAUUUUGGGAAUGGGGGGAGGGGGUUUUAAACCCUGAGCCGCUCCAGGAAAUAAUUUAGGGAAUUUUUUGGGAAUUUUUUGGGAAUUUUUGGGGGGGGAUGAAAGUGCCUGGAAGCUCCUUAAUUAUUAUUGGUUGUUCCUCAUGAAUUAUUCAUUAUUAUUAAUGAGCUUGGAGCUCCGCCCCCCCGGGAGGGGGAGGGGCUCUUAUUGCCUUGGGAGGGGCCCGGAAGCCUCCGGAAUCCCAGGGAAAGUUCUGGAAUUCCCUGGAAAGUCCAGGAAUUCCCUGGAAAGUUCUGGAAUUCCCUGGAAAGUUCUGGAACGUUCCGGGUCCCGUCGGGCAGGUCCCGGAUCCUUCCGGAAUCUUCUCUGGGAAUUCUGGGCUGGGAUCCCGCGGAGCCUCCCCGGCCCCAAACGGAUCCAAACGAACGGAUCCAAACCCGAUCCCGGAUCCCAAACGGAUCCUGGUGGAUCCCAGACCGAUCCCAGACCCCUCCAGAUCCUCCCAGGGCUCUGCUGAGGCGCCGGAGCCGCCGAUCCCGAUGGGAAUGUCCCAGAUCCGGGGGGAUCUCCCCGUCCCAGCGGAUCCCGGUGGAUCCCGGCGGAUCCCGCUCACGGCUCCGGGUGCUCCGGGGCCCCCGAGAAGAUCCUGGCGAAGCGCCGGAGCUGCCGCGCGGCCGAGCUCGACUCCUGCUGCAGCCGCCGGUUGUUCUGCCGCAGGUUGGCGACCUCGGCCUGCAGGAAAACCUUGUCCUGCUUCUCCUGGGGGGAAAAUCCGGGAAUUCCGGGAAUGUCCG